UUCUUGGCCCGACCUCCCAACCCUGUGUCUAUUGAACCUUUUGUUGCUUCGGCGGGCCCGUCCUAUAACCAGGACCGCCGGAGGACCGUCAAAACGUCCUCUGGCCCGCGCCCGCCGAUGGCCCAACUAUCAAAACUCUGAACCAAACGUGAAUUGUCUAAGUAUUAUAUUUAAUCAAAACAAAACUUUCAACAACGGAUCUCUUGGUUCUGGCAUCGAUGAAGAACGCAGCGAAAUGCGAUAAGUAAUGCGAAUUGCAGAAUUCCAGUGAGUCAUCGAAUCUUUGAACGCACAUUGCGCCCUUUGGUAUUCCGAAGGGCAUGCCUGUUCGAGCGUCAUUAUCACCUCUCAAGCCCCCCGGGUUUGGCCUUGGAUGGUUUGGUCAGGCUUGCCUGACCCCUCCUAAAGACAAUGACGGCGGCUUUGCUAGACCCCCGGUACACUGAGCUUCUUAAUUGAGCACGUAUUGGAACAAGGGUCUGCGGCCAACGGUCUCCUCCCUUUGCAGGGAAAAUUUUCAAAGGUUGACCUCGGAUCAGGUAGGGAUACCCGCUGAACUUAA
rnacentral:rRNA from 1 species